rnacentral:rRNA from 1 species
UACGAAGGGGGCUAGCGUUGCUCGGAAUCACUGGGCGUAAAGGGCGCGUAGGCGGAUCUUUAAGUCGGGGGUGAAAUCCCGGGGCUCAACCUCGGAACUGCCUUUGAUACUGCAAAUCUCGAGUCCGAUAGAGGUGGGUGGAAUUCCUAGUGUAGAGGUGAAAUUCGUAGAUAUUAGGAAGAACACCGGUGGCGAAGGCGGCCCACUGGAUCGGUACUGACGCUGAGGUGCGAAAGCGUGGGGAGCAAACAGG